GACGAACGCUGGCGGCGUGCUUAACACAUGCAAGUCGAACGGAAAGGCCCUGCUUUUGUUGGGUGCUCGAUUGGCGAACGGGUGAGUAACACGUGAGUAACCUGCCCUUGACUUUGGGAUAACUUCAGGAAACUGGGGCUAAUACCGGAUAUGAGCUCCUGCUGCAUGGUGGGGGUUGGAAAGUUUCGGCGGUUGGGGAUGGACUCGCGGCUUAUCAGCUUGUUGGUGUGGUAGUGGCUUACCAAGGCUUUGACGGGUAGCCGGCCUGAGAGGGUGACCGGCCACAGUGGGACUGCGAUACGGCCCAGAAUCCUACGGGCGGCAGCAGUGGGGAAUAUUGCGCAAUGGGCGGAAGCCUGAUGCAGAAACGCUGCGUGCGGGAUGACGGCCUUCGGGUUGUAAACCGCUUUCGCAUGUGACGAAGCGUGAGUGACGGUAAUGGGUAAAGAAGCACCGGCUAACUACGUG
rnacentral:rRNA from 1 species